rnacentral:lncRNA from 1 species
AGUUCUUCAAGCCAUCUGGAAUGAAAAGAAGACAAAGAGCCUCCGGGAAGAGCAGCGAUCAGCGAUUCUCUCCAGGCUUAGCGUCAGCUGGCACCAAAGCAGGGAGGCAUGGCCUGGUUUCCUUCUGCUCCCAUGCUCGAGUGGCACUUCCGGAGGUGGCAAGUAGUCUCUCUGUCACAAUAGGAAAGAGCACUAGGAUGUUGAUGAUCCAGCUAACAGAGACGCAAGCUGAGGCCACAUGAACUCACAGGACACUCCAGGACCUCAAGAUGGACAGAGACUGAGUAGCCAGGAGUCCAGAAGAGCUGCUCUUGAAGUUCACUGACGGAGAUCCAACCUGCCGCUGAUGUUCCCACCCGGCCCCUUCCUUAGGUUUGUGGCACUGUCCAUCCAGUUACUGGUCUGUCUACAAAUGGUCUGCUGCACUGUC